GUGGGGAAUCUUGCGCAAUGGGCGAAAGCCUGACGCAGCCAUGCCGCGUGGAUGAUGAAGGUCUUAGGAUUGUAAAAUCCUUUCUCCGGUGAAGAUAAUGACUGUAGCCGGAGAAGAAGCCCCGGCUAACUUCGUGCCAGCAGCCGCGGUAAUACGAAGGGGGCUAGCGUUGCUCGGAUUUACUGGGCGUAAAGGGCGCGUAGGCGGACAUUUAAGUCAGGGGUGAAAUCCCGGGGCUCAACCUCGGAACUGCCUUUGAUACUGGGUGUCUUGAGUAUGAGAGAGGUGUGUGGAACUCCGAGUGUAGAGGUGAAAUUCGUAGAUAUUCGGAAGAACACCAGUGGCGAAGGCGACACACUGGCUCAUUACUGACGCUGAGGCGCGAAAGCGUGGGGAGCAAACAGGAUUAGAUACCCCGGUAGUCC
rnacentral:rRNA from 1 species